UCUCUCUCCCUUCUCUCUCUUCUCUUUCUGAAAGUAAUGUCCCUUGGGACCUUGUCCCUAGAUCGGACGGUUUUUUCCAUCAUCCAGAGGAUCGCUGGUGAUUUUCAAGCACAAGAACACCUCAGGCAUCUGAAGGGGACACUGUGCGGUUGCAGCGGUCUGGUUCCUGGGACGUUAAAGCAAGAGUACAGGACCAGUUGGUGCCAAGGUCCUACCGGGUUCUCACCGAAGACGGGAGAGAGAUACGACGGAAUCGCCAGCACCUUCUUCGAACUCCGGAGGUAUUCACCCUUCCUACGGUAGCUCCGGACUACAGCACCGCAAACAAUACCACGGAAGCAGCAACACCUCAAGCCGAGCCAGGUCCCACAUCAAAAGGUCCAGCCGAGGACAACAGCCAGGUACCACCAGUGAUGGAGCCUCAAUUGAGAAGAUCAUCGAGGCAGCGAAGGCCGCCAGAUCGACUAAUGUGGUGUACGCAUCAACUUUGAGGGUAUGACGGAUGCUGCGGUUAAGACGACGGUGAAGAAAUGACUCUACCCUGCUGCAGAUAGAAAAGGUGGACGGUCAAGGAGGCGGAGGCGAAAGGAGACUGCGCAAUAGAAUUCUAUUUCUACAAUUCUUGUAGAACGUACUCCUAUUACUUCUUCCUUCUACCCGUACAUACUCCCGAUGAUUUCUUUGAAACUGUACGUUUGAAAGACGUUUGUUUAAACCGAACGAGAGGUGCGCAAGAAACACGACAAUCGUUCCAUACUUCACGGUGUUUUUCGAUUGCACGUAUAGUAUACAUACACACACAGGCACUAUGUACAAUAUAUAAUUACAUAGAGAUAUGUAUUGUUAAGUAUCCACAUUCGCGCAAACGUUGACCAGUCAAAUGGAAUUCGAUCUUUUGCCAUUUUGGCCAAAGGAGCCGACGCCAAACGAGGAAUGUGCUGCACAGUCAAGCUUGUUCCAUGUUUGGCUACUUUAGCUUGACAAACACGGCCAAGUUUGGGUUAACAUUGGGCUACAUUUGGCAUGGAGCUUGGGUACACAUUGAAAGUGCCCAAGGGGACCAAGCGAAAAUGGAAAAGUUGCGAACGCAACUGGCAAAACAAGAAAAUGAUCCUGUUGUCCAUGCCGAACAGGAGAGUUCCGAUCGUGCGAAGGAGAGGGUUCAGAAAACGCCGCAGAGGAGUCAGGAGACACCUUCGCCACAAGUCAGAAAAGGCUGUGGAUUUGUACUACAUACGGUAGAAACACACAACAUUUGCACAGCACAUACAUAUUUGCCUUUUUUCUUAUUCUUUUACUGAAUGUAUGCAUUGUACGGCUCGCAUCUCUCAUGAUCAUACUUGUCUCGAGACUUAAACCCUUAAAAUUAUUUUAGGAAACAACGCAUACCUGCAUCAAAUUUGUCCAGUGACGUGGACAAUGGCUCAAACUUUUUUACACAGAAGUUGUUGCCACGACAGAUAUUUACUUUCUCAUGUACAGGUUUUCCCGUCCAUUUUAGUCCAAGUCAUCUGAUUUAAUUCACGUGCCAUCUGAAAUAAUCCAGGCGCUAUACAACACAAUCCAGGUGCCAUGGCAGUUUUAAGCACUAUAGUCUGUAUCGUCGCUCCACGAACAUCAUCGCAGAAUAUUCUAGCGGAAGGAAAAGUGAAAAAAAAAAAAAAAGUUAAAAGUCUUAUGUUGAGCAUUCACCGUGCGCCUAGGCAUUGGAAGUUGGAGCCGGAGUACAGCGAACCACAUUGGUGCUGUCGUCUGCAACACAAUAUCUUCUGACUUAGACACGAUAUUCCGCGCGGUUAGAAUAGCACGAAAUGGCGCGACCAACAUAGCAGACGAUAGCCUUGGUCCCGUCGUCUGCUACGGAUUAUGUUGUAGCUGAGCCGCAUGAUAUUCGUUGCGGACAGAGGAGUACGCGAAUGGACAUGGCACACAUAACAGACGACACCAUUGGUCCUGUCGUCUGCUACGGAAUAUCUUUUGACUGAGCUGCUUGAUAUUCCGUGCGGUUAGAAGACCGCGAGAAGACAUUAAACACAUAACAGACAAAGCAGUUAGUUCUGCCGUCUACUACGGAAUGACUCAGCUGCAGGUCCUUCUGGCAUUAGCUACUAAGGUCAUAAUGAGCCAAAUACUACUGGAAGUUUUACCUAGGUAAAAUUUGUGUGUUCACUAAAACUGGGCUAAAUGCUAGGUUCGUAAUUGAAAUCACAGAUCUUUAAAAACCCGGAAUCCCUAAAAAACAUGUAGACCUUUCAAAGGAUAGCAAACUUUCAUCACCCAGCAAAAGCGCCUGAUGCAGUGGUAACAAGCUUGUAUAGAAUAAACCAAAAUGACGCUGAGGAAGAUGCUGAUAUACUGGGCAUAGAAUGAGCAUGUGAAUGAUUGAGAGUUGUUCCCCAAAGUGACUGCACUUGGGAGGGUCUUCCUCCAGUAAGAGAUAUCCGUGGGUUAAGUAGGUGUGUCCCAGGCGGAGCCAAACAGGAUAGCACCUCAUACAGACGAUUAGAUGUAGAUGGAGGAGGGCUUAUCUUAGGUUUUAUAGUGUGUAACUUGUUGCUUGUCUGUUGGGACCAAAAGCUCUGCCAGUGUCUGUUGGUGCUGCCUUUUAAGCUUUGAUUUGAUUUGAUUUGGGUUUUUCUGGCGCACUAGCUAGCCUUUUAAGCAUAGCCUGAGAUCUUGUGAUGGAAUGUCGAAGGGCGUUAUGUCGUUUGCUAGGGCAGGUACUCUGCUAGGCGAUGUACUAAGACGUUACCACGAUGCCCCGUAUGCAAGCCACCCCGGAGCGACAAAAACGGGGAAAAGAAUCAGUGGGGCGUACUUCUGGGGGAACAUGAGAAACAGCGUUCAGGCGUACAACGCAUCGUGUGAGUCAUGUCUGAGGCACAAAUCGACGAAAAAUCGUUUUGACCAUUUGACCGCACUGGAAUGGUGAUGAUGAUUCGGUUUUUGUUUCUUUUUCUUUUUUUUCUUUUUUUGUCGCAUCGAGAACUAUGGCCAUAAGCACUGCAAUGGCCGUACUCAGAUCCCUAUAUGUGAUUUUAAACGGCAACAAGUAUAUUUAAUGAAAUAUGCGAAGGCAAUUCCCAUGCCUGACCAAAGGGCAGGCAGCGUAGCCAGGCUAUUUACCGAACGGGUUGUCUUGCGGCACAGCUAGGGUUGUUAAUCCCGAGCCAUUUUUGCAGUCUCGGGAUUUCGGAAAUUUUGUUGUCAUUCCCGGGAUCCCGGGAUGGAAUUUCGGGAUUGUGACGAGUUCAGAUGGUGUUUCCAAGUAUAGCCCUGCGCGGGUCAGAAUUAUCUAACCCGCCAUUAUCUAACCAAGUUCAUUUACUUCAAGUGAUUAUAACGGCGUGUUGUACGCAGUUCAUGUGCGCUUGGUCAAUCCUACCAUUUCCUGAAGGAAAGCACUCGAAAAUUCUCAAUGAAACCACACUGAUAAAAUAGUGACGGCGAAAUACUUACAUUUCACUUGUUUGUUUUUUUCUGCUAUGACAAUGCCACUCCUUUUCUAUUCAUGUGCGUUUCACUGUUGCACGUAAAAAGAUGUCGAGUUCCUCUACACUUGAAAUAACAGGAAAUAUUACUAAAUAAUUUCCUCAAACGGUGUAACAUUCCACUUGAAUGAGGAACUGCAACGAAAAAGACAAAUGGAAAGAA